GAUGAACGCUGGCGGCGUGCCUAAUACAUGCAAGUCGAGCGAACAGACGAGGAGCUUGCUCCUCUGACGUUAGCAGCGGACGGGUGAGUCACACGUGGAUAACCUACCUAUCAGACUGGGAUAACUUCGGAAAACCGGCGCUAAUACCGGAUAAUCUCUUGAUCCGCAUGGUUCAUUAGUGAAAGACGGUUUUGCUGUCUCUUCUAGAUGGAUCCGCGCUGCAUUAGCUAGUUGGUACGGUAACGGCUUACCAAGGCAACGAUGCGUAGCCGACCUGAGAGAGGGAUCGGCCACACUGGAACGGAGACACGGUCCAGACGCCUAAGGGAGGCAGCAGUAGGGAAUCGUACGCAAUGGGCGAAAGCCUGACGGAGCAACGCCGCGUGAGUGAUGAAGGUCUUCGGAUCGUAAAACUCUGUUAUUAGGGAAGAACAAAUGUGUAAGUAACUAUGCACGUCUUGACGGUACCUAAUCAGAAAGCCACGGCUAACUACGUG
rnacentral:rRNA from 1 species